UUCUGUCUGAUGCAUCGGUCUUUGACUACCAUUUUUGGCUAACCUCAUGCUGUUCAAUUUUCUUCAAAUUUAUAAACAAAUAACACAAUUACUGAUUCAUGAAACUUCAUCUUCAUCAUUGUUUGGUACCAAGAAGCCCAAGCAGAAGAAAAAACAAAAUUGCUGGCAGAAGAACAGUGUAACGUCACUUUCAUCACCAACAAAAAAUCUGAUUGUUAUCUUUUUAGGUACCAGCCUAGAGAAAAAGCAGUCAAAGCUCUACCACUUUCAAAUUCAAAUUUCAAACUCUCUUCCUCCUCUCUCUCUAAACCCCAAAGCUUUUGAGACUCUGAUCAGAGAUCGAACACGAUGGAUGAAGAGUAUGAUGUCAUCGUUUUAGGUACUGGUCUUAAGGAAUGCAUUCUCAGUGGUCUUCUCUCCGUCGAUGGCCUCAAAGUUCUUCACAUGGAUAUUGAAAACUGAGCUCCUCCCUCCCUCAAGGAGGUAAACUUUUCAUUCCUGAAACCUGAAUCAUGUUCUCCCAUAAGUGUAGGUAUCAUUUUUUAUUUUCUGGAUCUAUUUUCUUUGUUUUCAGUUUGUUCUUUUCCAAAUCCCUAAUUUUCUUCAGUUGCAUUUCUAAUCUCUUUCUGUUUCGUUUUUUCUUUUCAUUCUCUCAUUGGAGGUAAAAUUUUCAUACCUAAUUGAAGGAAUCACGCUCUCGCAUGACACAAUCAGGAAAUAAUGGUAGAAAGUUGGUAUGAGAGGUGAAAAAUUCUUGACUACAUAUACUUAAGUUCAUGCCUUGGACUCGAUGAAAUGUGUGGCUGCUGUAAAAAGGAAAGGAGUAGUGCCAGAAGAGGAUAUUUACAUUAAGUUUCUUACUUCCUUUUCAUUGAUGAAGAACGAGGUAGUACAUUAAGCUAUCUUCCAUAAAUUAAUUUAUUAUUGCUAUCUAUCUUUUAUAUUUGUUCAUUAUCCUAUAAAUGUAUUUGUUUUUAUUUUCCGAUCUACUGAGUUUGAAGUGUAUGAAUGAUCGCUAGCAUGGAGUAAGUAACAUGAAGGCUAACAUAAAGGUUAACCAAAAACCCUUUUGUACAACAUUUGUAUUCUGGCAAAAGCUCGAAAAACUUUAAAACCAAUUAUGAAGGCUUGAACCAGAAUGUGUUGGUGAUUUUUACAAAAAAGAUGAAGCCAUGGAUGUUGUUGAUAGAAUUAUGAAUUAUGAAGGCUAACCUGAAUGUGUUGGUGAUUUUUCUCUUCUUUUUUUUGUUUGUUUUGGUAUAUAUAGUCUGAAAUAAUACUUUGUGCUACUAAAUACAUGCAACACUUUCUUUUAAACAUGUUAUCAAAUUUAUUCUUCUUUUGGUUGGUAACUCCUUUUGAUAACACAUCUUUUGUUGAUAUAAAAUUCUUCCAAAUUCUAUAAUAUUUGUUGAAGUUGGAUUAGAGUUCCAUUAGUUUAUAUGUGAUGGGUGUACCAUGUACAGAUCUGCCAAUAAAAUUUUGGUGUAUGCAAAUUCUAUAACCCUUUUAAUAACUCAUCAUGAUAUGAAUUGUGUUUUGCAGAUAGAUUUUGGGGUUUGUGGGAAUUUUGUUCUAUUUUCUUAGAUUUACCUCUUUUGAUAACCUACUUGUGUUUUGCAGAUAACUAUACUUUGCAAUUACCAUUUUUAAUGUUGUUGGUUGUAGAAACUAUAAAUUCAAUGCAGCUCUCCAUUCUCAAUUAACUUAGUUUAAAAAUUUCAGUAAGCAUCAUGAGCUCCAUUUUCCUUCCAAAGAAGAAACCCAUGGAUAUUGAAAACUGAGCUCCUCCCUCCCUCAAGGAGGUAAAAUUUUCAUUCCUGAAAUCCGAAUCGUGUUCUCCCAAAAGUGUUGUCUUCUCAAUCGAAUCCUCCGACCUGUUUCAAGAUCCAUCCCGCAGGUAAUUUCAGUUUCGUUCCUUUUCCAAAUCCCUAAUUUUCUUCGAUCACAUUUCAAAGACUCUAUUUGUUUCCUGCUUUUUAUCUUCUAUUUAUUCAUUUUCUCUCUUGGAUCAAAACCUUGAAAACCAAAUAAGCUAUGCUUUAUCUAUGUUUAAAUGACUUUUGCCAAGCACCUUAACUAUAUUAUUAUUUUUUUCCUUUUAUUGUGAGUGUUUUUCUGCCGGUGUUUACUGCAUAGAGCCCUGCUCCUGUCAGGAAUGCAAUAACAAAAUAGUGUCAUGAUGUUUGUAAAGUCACAUUAUUGGAGUGCUCAUUUGCUUAAAGGAGAAAAGAGAACAAGUUUGUUUGAAUGAACUCUAUCAAUUCCAAAUGAAAUCGCAAAACGGUGGUUCAAGAUUCAAGUUAAAUUGUGUGAAGGGAAUCCAAAGAUUUUGACCCCUUGCAGUAAAUUUAAAGAUUUGAGUAAUCUUAAGCUUCAAAAUAUUUACUAUAAUGGAAACUAGGAGGAGCAUGAGCAAACAAUUUUUUUUUGCAUGCAUCUUUUAUAUUUUGUCAUUGGGGAUCACUAUUUAAAUUUGGAAGAAGAGGUUAAAAAUAAGAACCUCAAGAUUUUAUGGAUACAUAUUAUUAUUUUGAUUCGUUUCCAAACUACUACUUGCAAGAAUUAUAAUUAUAUGCAAUUAACAGCGUA